rnacentral:rRNA from 1 species
UACAGAGGUCUCAAGCGUUGUUCGGAUUCAUUGGGCGUAAAGGGUGCGUAGGUGGCGCUGUAAGUCGGGUGUGAAAUUUCGGAGCUUAACUCCGAAACUGCAUUCGAUACUGCGGUGCUUGAGGACUGGAGAGGAGACUGGAAUUCAUGGUGUAGCGGUGAAAUGCGUAGAGAUCAGGAAGAACACCGGUGGCGAAGGCGCUCUGCUAGGCCGCAACUGACACUGAGGGACGAAAGCUAGGGGAGCGAAUGGG